UUGUUCGCAAUCAGUCGCAUCAUUUUGAGAUUAGUCAAGUUGUCAGUAAAGAUAACUCUUAGCUACCUCUUAGUGUCCAGAAAUUGUCAAAAGUUGAUCCGUUCAUGGAAAAUCAUCCGUUGUGAGAAUCAAUCUCUGGGUACAAUCACGCUGGACAAUUUAUUUUGAUAAACUGUUUCAUUGUUAAUUCAAGACCUCAUUGCAUUGAUUAGUAUGAUUUUAUUUUGCUGGUCAAAAUUCAGGAAUGUUAAUUAAACUCCGUAAGUUUAUUAAGUUUUGUAAAUCAUAUAAUCAAUAAAUUUCUCAUAUGUAUUUUGUUAACCAUUUAGUUUCCAUUAAUAUAUUCAUUUUCAAGUUAAUUGAGUAUUCAUUGUGGACUGCACGUCUCUCCUAUAAUUGGGUGAUCUCACAAGUUAAGGCUGAGGAUCUUUUAAAUAAAUGUAAUAAAAGAUAAGGGCAAUCACGUGAUACUGCCCCCCUUCCUCUACUGUCUUUGCGUUCUUAAAAGUGUCUUCAUUUUUAAUUUUAGUUCAGUUCCACCAGUUGAUUUGAAAAGAACAAAUAAUAGCUCACCCGCCGGCCAUAAUAUAUAACUAAUUCAAAACACGCUGGAUUACCGAAAGACGGGAUAGAACGUCUUCUCGAUAUGGUCCCGGCGGGAUAGACAUUCGCAGGUGGUCAGGGCCCCCUCCACCAGUCCAGGGUUUCCUGGACCAUUUCACGGUGGGGCACCUGGCCGCCGUCGUCGGUUACGACCUCAGAGGAGUAGUAACCAUUUAUAUGUGGAAUGUGUGAAUUACUUGUACAUACUAUAUUUAUUAAAUUUUUAGUUUACUA